UGCAGUCGAACGGUAGCACAGAGAGCUUGCUCUCAGGUGACGAGUGGCGGACGGGUGAGUAAUGUCUGGGAAACUGCCUGAUGGAGGGGGAUAACUACUGGAAACGGUAGCUAAUACCGCAUAACGUCGCAAGACCAAAGAGGGGGACCUUCGGGCCUCUUGCCAUCAGAUGUGCCCAGAUGGGAUUAGCUAGUAGGUGGGGUAAUGGCUCACCUAGGCGACGAUCCCUAGCUGGUCUGAGAGGAUGACCAGCCACACUGGAACUGAGACACGGUCCAGACUCCUACGGGAGGCAGCAGUGGGGAAUAUUGCACAAUGGGCGCAAGCCUGAUGCAGCCAUGCCGCGUGUAUGAAGAAGGCCUUCGGGUUGUAAAGUACUUUCAGCGGGGAGGAAGGUGUUGCGGUUAAUAACUGCAGCAAUUGACGUUACCCGCAGAAGAAGCACCGGCUAACUCCGUGCCAGCAGCCGCGGUAAUACGGAGGGUGCAAGCGUUAAUCGGAAUUACUGGGCGUAAAGCGCACGCAGGCGGUCUGUCAAGUCGGAUGUGAAAUCCCCGGCCUCAACCUGGGAACUGCAUUCNAAACUGGCAGGCUAGAGUCUUNGUAGAGGGGGGGUAGAAUUCCCAGGUGUAGCGGUGAAAUGCGUAAAGAUCUGGANGAAUACCGGUGGCGAAGCGCCCCUG
rnacentral:rRNA from 1 species